AUUUUUACUGUAAUAGAUUGUAAG
rnacentral:piRNA from 1 species